rnacentral:tRNA from 1 species
GGCUCCAUAAUGUAGUGGUUAGCACAUUCGCUUUACAUGCAGAAGGUCCUGGGUUCGUGCCCGAAGUGGAGCCA